rnacentral:rRNA from 1 species
AACUAUGCCUGGUCAGGACGAAGCCAGGGGAAACCCUGGUGGAGGUUCGUAGCGAUUCUGACGUGCAAAUCGAUCGUCGGAACUGGGUAUAGGGGCGAAAGACUAAUCGAACCAUCUAGUAGCUGGUUCCCUCCGAAGUUUCCCUCAGGAUAGCUGGCGCUUAUACCAGUCUCAUCCGGUAAAGCGAAUGAUUAGAGGCCUUGGGGCCGAAACGACCUCAACCUAUUCUCAAACUUUAAAUGGGUGAGAAGUCAGGCUUGCUUGAUCGAAGCUCUGACAAUGGAUGGUGAGUGCCAAGUGGGCCACUCUUGGUAAGCAGGACUGGCGCUGUGGGAUGAACCAAACGCUGGGUUAAGGCGCCCGAAUCGACGCUCAUCAGAUCCCAUAAAAGGUGUUGGUGCUAAGACAGCAGA